UACGAAGGGAGCGAGCGUUGUUCGGAAUCACUGGGCUUAAAGCGUGUGUAGGCGGACUUGCAAGUCAGGAGUGAAAUCCCCGGGCUCAACCUGGGAACUGCUUUUGAAACUACAAGUCUGGAGUCCCGGAGAGGUUAGGAGAAUUCCGAGUGUAGAGGUGAAAUUCGCAGAUAUUCGGAGGAAUACCAGUGGCGUAGGCGCCUAACUGGACGGGUACUGACGCUGAGGAACGAAAGCGUGGGGAGCAAACAGG
rnacentral:rRNA from 1 species